GCCCGGGUGGCUCAGUCGGUUAAGCGUCCGACUUCAGCUCAGGUCAUGAUCUCACAGCUCGUGGGUUCGAGCCCCGCAUCGGGCU
rnacentral:tRNA from 1 species